ensembl:lncRNA
CAGGGCUCGGUUUUAGACCUCUGCUAACGUGCUAGCUAAGGUUUUGAUAUUGGAGUUACUCUCUGUUUCAACAGACUGAACUAGUGCUACUGGAUCAGAAUCAUCCUGCUGGACAUGAAACUGGACUGUGAGGAAGUGAACUGAACAAUAUAUAGUAUACAGUGUUUGGGCAACGUCAAUGGUCCUGACUCCCCACAGUAAUAACUAGCACCCUCACCACCCCACAGGGCGAAAUACAUCUGAAAAAGCGUGUCAAUGGUUAAUAUUGGGAAUCCUUCAAAGGGGAGAUGGCUGUCUAUCGUAACAGUGAUGGUGACAUCAUGUCUAUUCCGGACAUCGUAGACGAAAUCAAGUUUCUGAACAAGGCAAGCGGUACGUACAUGUGUUAUUAUUUUAUAAGUAUCCGUGCCUAUG